AACGAACGCUGGCGGCAGGCCUAACACAUGCAAGUCGAACGCUCCGCAAGGAGAGUGGCAGACGGGUGAGUAACACGUGGGAAUCUUCCUGUUGGUUCGGAAUAGCUCAGGGAAACUUGGGGUAAUACCGGAUAAGCCCGAGAGGGGAAAGAUUUAUCGCCGACAGAUGAGCCCGCGUCUGAUUAGCUAGUUGGUGAGGUAAUGGCUCACCAAGGCGACGAUCAGUAGCNGGUCUGAGAGGAUGACCAGCCACACUGGGACUGAGACACGGCCCAGACUCCUACGGGAGGCAGCAGUGGGGAAUAUUGGACAAUGGGCGCAAGCCUGAUCCAGCCAUGCCGCGUGAGUGAAAGAAGGCCU
rnacentral:rRNA from 1 species